rnacentral:rRNA from 1 species
CGGGCCGGGCGGCGCUGCCUAAUGAUGCAAGUCGAACGAACUCUGGUAUUGAUUGGUGCUUGCAUCAUGAUUUACAUUUGAGUGAGUGGCGAACUGGUGAGUAACACGUGGGAAACCUGCCCAGAAGCGGGGGAUAACACCUGGAAACAGAUGCUAAUACCGCAUAACAACUUGGACCGCAUGGUCCGAGUUUGAAAGAUGGCUUCGGCUAUCACUUUUGGAUGGUCCCGCGGCGUAUUAGCUAGAUGGUGGGGUAACGGCUCACCAUGGCAAUGAUACGUAGCCGACCUGAGAGGGUAAUCGGCCACAUUGGGACUGAGACACGGCCCAAACUCCUACGGGAGGCAGCAGUAGGGAAUCUUCCACAAUGGACGAAAGUCUGAUGGAGCAACGCCGCGUGAGUGAAGAAGGGUUUCGGCUCGUAAAACUCUGUUGUUAAAGAAGAACAUAUCUGAGAGUAACUGUUCAGGUAUUGACGGUAUUUAACCAGAAAGCCACGGCUAACUACGUGCCAGCAGCCGCGGUAAUACGUAGGUGGCAAGCGUUGUCCGGAUUUAUUGGGCGUAAAGCGAGCGCAGGCGGUUUUUUAAGUCUGAUGUGAAAGCCUUCGGCUCAACCGAAGAAGUGCAUCGGAAACUGGGAAACUUGAGUGCAGAAGAGGACAGUGGAACUCCAUGUGUAGCGGUGAAAUGCGUAGAUAUAUGGAAGAACACCAGUGGCGAAGGCGGCUGUCUGGUCUGUAACUGACGCUGAGGCUCGAAAGUAUGGGUAGCAAACAGGAUUAGAUACCCUGGUAGUCCAUACCGUAAACGAUGAAUGCUAAGUGUUGGAGGGUUUCCGCCCUUCAGUGCUGCAGCUAACGCAUUAAGCAUUCCGCCUGGGGAGUACGGCCGCAAGGCUGAAACUCAAAGGAAUUGACGGGGGCCCGCACAAGCGGUGGAGCAUGUGGUUUAAUUCGAAGCUACGCGAAGAACCUUACCAGGUCUUGACAUACUAUGCAAAUCUAAGAGAUUAGACGUUCCCUUCGGGGACAUGGAUACAGGUGGUGCAUGGUUGUCGUCAGCUCGUGUCGUGAGAUGUUGGGUUAAGUCCCGCAACGAGCGCAACCCUUAUUAUCAGUUGCCAGCAUUAAGUUGGGCACUCUGGUGAGACUGCCGGUGACAAACCGGAGGAAGGUGGGGAUGACGUCAAAUCAUCAUGCCCCUUAUGACCUGGGCUACACACGUGCUACAAUGGAUGGUACAACGAGUUGCGAACUCGCGAGAGUAAGCUAAUCUCUUAAAGCCAUUCUCAGUUCGGAUUGUAGGCUGCAACUCGCCUACAUGAAGUCGGAAUCGCUAGUAAUCGCGGAUCAGCAUGCCGCGGUGAAUACGUUCCCGGGCCUUGUACACACCGCCCGUCACACCAUGAGAGUUUGUAACACCCAAAGUCGGUGGGGUAACCUUUUAGGAACCAGCCGCCUAAGGUGGAACAAAU